rnacentral:rRNA from 1 species
GAUGAACGCUAGCGGCAGGCUUAAUACAUGCAAGUCGUGGGGCAGCACGAAGUAGCAAUACUUUGAUGGCGACCGGCAAACGGGGGCGGAACACGUACACAACCUUCCUUUUAGUGGGGAAUAGCCCAGAGAAAUUUGGAUUAAUACCCCGUAACAUAGCGAUGAGGCAUCUCAUUGCUAUUAUAGCUUCGGCGCUAGGUGAUGGGUGGGCGAAUGAUUAGAUUGUUGGCGAGGUACCGGCUAACCAAGGCUACGAUCAUUAGCUGAUGUGAGAGCAUGAUCAGCCACACGGGAACUGAGACACGGGCCCGACUCCUACGGAAGGCAGCAGUAAGGAAUAUUGGUCAAUGGACGAAAGUCUGAACCAGCCAUGCCGCGUGAAGGAUUAAGGUCCUCUGGAUUGUAAACUUCUUUUAUAUGGGACGAAAAAAGGUCUUUCUAGAUCACUUGACGGUACCAUAUGAAUAAGCACCGGCUAACUCCGUGCCAGCCGCCGCCGUUAAUAC